UACGGAGGGGGCUAGCGUUGUUCGGAAUUACUGGGCGUAAAGCGCGCGUAGGCGGAUCUGCAAGUCGGGGGUGAAAUCCCGAGGCUCAACCUCGGAACUGCCUUCGAUACUGCGGGUCUCGAGUCCGGGAGAGGUGAGUGGAAUUCCUAGUGUAGAGGUGAAAUUCGUAGAUAUUAGGAAGAACACCAGUGGCGAAGGCGGCUCACUGGCCCGGUACUGACGCGUGAG
rnacentral:rRNA from 1 species